UACGAAGGGGGCUAGCGUUGCUCGGAAUUACUGGGCGUAAAGCGCACGUAGGCGGAUUGUUAAGUCGGGGGUGAAAUCCUGGAGCUCAACUCCAGAACUGCCUUCGAUACUGGCGAUCUCGAGUUCGGGAGAGGUGAGUGGAACUGCGAGUGUAGAGGUGAAAUUCGUAGAUAUUCGCAAGAACACCAGUGGCGAAGGCGGCUCACUGGCCCGGCAUUGACGCUGAGGAGCGAAAGCCAGGGGAGCAAACGGG
rnacentral:rRNA from 1 species